CGGCAGGCUUAACACAUGCGAGUCGAGCGCUGUAGCAAUACAGAGCGGCGCACGGGUGAGUAACACGUGGGAACGUGCCCUAUGGUUCGGAAUAACUCAGGGAAACUUGAGCUAAUACCGGAUAAGCCCUUACGGGGAAAGAUUUAUCGCCAUUGGAGCGGCCCGCGUCCGAUUAGCUAGUUGGUGGGGUAAAAGCCCACCAAGGCGACGAUCGGUAGCUGGUCUGAGAGGACGACCAGCCACACUGGGACUGAGACACGGCCCAGACUCCUACGGGAGGCAGCAGUGGGGAAUCUUGGACAAUGGGGGCAACCCUGAUCCAGCCAUGCCGCGUGAGUGAUGAAGGCCCUAGGGUUGUAAAACUCUUUCGGCGGGGACGAUAAUGACGGUACCCGCAGAAGAAGCUCCGGCUAACUUCGUGCCAGCAGCCGCGGUAAUACGAAGGGGGCUAGCGUUGUUCGGAAUUACUGGGCGUAAAGCGCGCGCAGGCGGUCCUUCAAGUCAGAGGUGAAAGCCCAGAGCUCAACUCUGGAACGGCCUUUGAAACUAGGGGACUUGGGUACGGGAGAGGUGAGUGGAAUUCCGAGUGUAGAGGUGAAAUUCGUAGAUAUUCGGAAGA
rnacentral:rRNA from 1 species